CCUACGGGAGGCAGCAGUGGGGGAUAUUGCACAAUGGGGGAAACCCUGAUGCAGCGACGCCGCGUGUGGGAAGACGGUCUUCUGGAUUGUAAACCACUGUCCCCAGGGACGAAAAUGACGGUACCUGGGGCGGAAGCUCCGGCUAACUACGUGCCAGCAGCCGCGGUAAUACGUAGGGAGCAAGCGUUGUCCGGAAUUACUGGGUGUAAAGGGAGCGUAGGCGGGGAUGCAAGUUGGGUGUCAAAACUACCGGCUCAACCGAUAGUCGCACUCAAAACUGCAACUCUUGAGUGAAGUAGAGGCAGGCGGAAUUCCUAGUGUAGCGGUGAAAUGCGUAGAUAUUAGGAGGAACACCAGUGGCGAAGGCGGCCUGCUGGGCUUUGACUGACGCUGAGGCUCGAAAGUGUGGGGAGCAAACAGGAUUAGAUACCCGAGUAGUC
rnacentral:rRNA from 1 species